rnacentral:rRNA from 1 species
UACAGAGGUCCCAAGCGUUGUUCGGAUUCACUGGGCGUAAAGGGUGCGUAGGCGGUCGGGUAAGUCUGAUGUGAAAUCUCACAGCUUAACUGUGAAACUGCAUUGGAUACUAUCCGGCUAGAGGAAUGGAGGGGAGACUGGAAUACUUGGUGUAGCAGUGAAAUGCGUAGAUAUCAAGUGGAACACCAGUGGCGAAGGCGGCUUCCUGGCCUGUUCUUGACGCUGAGGCGCGAAAGCUAGGGGAGCAAACGGG